CUUUCUUGGUGGCUCUUUGGUUUGGGCCCCGCUGGGCUGCCAGUUGCGAGGCGGCCCCGUUCAUCUUAGGGGGAAACCUCUUCUCUUCUGCCCGGCCAACCCACGGGCCUGGGUUUGUCACUGCCCCGGGACGCCAUAGUCUGAUCGAGAAUUGCCCCUUGAGUUAGAAGAUGGAGGAGGGACCUGAAAAAAGUGGUCUCUCGACAGCGAGGGCGGGGGAGGGCCUCGUCGCCCUCUCCUCAGUGUCUCCAGCGCCUAGUGAGUGGUCUUUUGAAUGACUGAAGGGUUGGUGAGGCAAGGUUUAUUGGGGGACACUUGUCCAUCUCUUCUUGAUCGCUAGACGAGGCUUGACCUGGGCUGAAAGAAAUGCAGUAAGGAGGCACUUUCUCAGCUUCCUGGGAACUGGGACCCUGGAACUCAGUAAAGACUGUUAUUCCAGACUUAGGAAUGGCCUGAGCAUAAGCCUGAAGGCGUGGAGCUGGUCUCGAGGCUUACCCUUCCGCUUCACCAAAAACACCUUCUCCAAGAGCCAGAGUGAUCAUUUGAAAAGGUCAUCCAGACUUGAACUGAGGGGCAUUGCUGGCUUGAAAAUGAUCCAAGAACAAAAGAAACACCUCUCAAAGGUCAUCCACCAAACAAACAAAAACUGAGAAACACUCUGUUGUUUUCUCCUCAGGAGUGAAUCUGGGCUCUAACUUUGGAUUUUCACUAAAGCUAUUACCUAGGGAGCUACUGAAGAAGGUACAGACAAUUGGAAUCAAGAAAUUUGAGUCGGGCUUCCCUGGUGGCGCAGUGGUUGAGAGUCCGCCUGCCGAUGCAGGGGACGCGGGUUUGUGCCCCCGUCCGGGAAGAUCCCACAUGCCGCGGAGCGGCUGGGCCCGUGAGCCUUGGCCGCUGAGCCUGCACGUCCCAAGCCUGUGCUCCGCAAUGGGAGAGGCCACAACAGUGAGAGGCCCGCGUACCGCAAAAAAAAAAAAAAAAGAAAUAGGAGGCAGAUGAGGAUGAGGCCAGAUGGCUUAGCAACUUAUAAAACGUUGUAAGGAUUUUGGAUUUUAUUGUGUGUGAGAUGGGAAGCCA